AUGACAACGCAACCAACUUUUUGUGUAGUGCCUGCCUUUCACAUCAGAAACACGGUGCCCACAAGGGUGAGGGUGGGCUUUGCUCCCAGUGCUGCCUCCACAUCACAAGUCCUGUGGGGUGUAGACAUACAGCUGCACCCCACCCAUAUGUCUUUGAUCUAAGCCCAAGGAUCUUAGAGCCCAAGGAUUUUAAGCUGGUGGCCCUUUACCACUGAACCUGAAGAACCAUGCUCAUGAAGAAAAAGAUGAUGAACACUGAGACCAUCUGUGCUACAUGAAGGUUUGUAUCCUCAAGACAGCCAUAAUUCACAUUAAGGUCAUGACACAAGUUACAACCAACAAUAC